UGCGUAGGCGGUUAGAUAAGUCAGAGGUGAAAGCCCACAGCUCAACUGUGGAAUUGCCUUUGAUACUGUUUAACUUGAAUCAGGUUGAGGUUGGCGGAAUGUGACAUGUAGCGGUGAAAUGCAUAGAUAUGUCAUAGAACACCAAUUGCGAAGGCAGCUAACUAGACCUGUAUUGACGCUGAGGCACGAAAGCGUGGGGAGCGAACAGGAUUAGAUACCCUGGUAGUC
rnacentral:rRNA from 1 species